GUCUACGGCCAUGCUAAUAUUUUCAUCUCGGAAGCUUAGCAGGGUCGGGCCUGGUUAGUACUUGGAUGGGAGACCACCUAGGAAGACCAGGUGCUAUAGGCG
rfam:Pteropus alecto contig163682, whole genome shotgun sequence.